AUCUGGGGGAGUAGUGACACACACUGGAGAUUGGAGACUGGAGACACACGGGACAGGAAUCGGGAACUCAGGAGAAGGGAAGACACAUGCAGAUGCGAGGUAGGCGUCUGAGACGUAGUGAUGGCUGGAUACAAAAAUCUGUCCUACUACAAACAAGACCGGACACUGACUGAGGUGAAGGAUGGUGCUUUAUAAGGGAGUGGAGUGCUGAUUAGGUGCAGGUGUGUAAUGAGUGACAGGUGACUGGGAUUAGUGCUCAGAUGAGGGAGUGCGAUGUGUGUGGUGAAUGACAGCUUUGGACACAGUUUGGACAACAGUGAAAAGUACUUCAGCGCGUACUCAGUGACCCAUGAUGGCAUAUAGAGUUACAGGAACUUUCGUCAUCAUGUCAAGAAAGCAACGUUGAUUGAAAAUGGGUCUCCUGUGUCAAAGUCUGCCGCUUUUAUGACCCAUCCAUCCACCCCAGCCUCCUCCCUAUGCAGACCAUGCUACAGCCACCAUUGCUUCUGACGGACAGGAGUCAUAAUACACCAAGCUGCUGAAGGUCUUUCUCGGAAAAACAAACUGAUUGUUUUUAGACAUUUUCACAAAUUUGCUACUAUAAAAUGCCA